ACCGUAGAAUUGCCAUUGAUACUGUUAUUCUUGAGUAUAGUUGAGGUGGGCGGAAUGUGUAAUGUAGCGGUGAAAUGCUUAGAUAUUACACAGAACACCAAUUGCGAAGGCAGCUCACUAAGCUGUUACUGACGCUGAGGCACGAAAGCGUGGGGAGCAAACAGGAUUAGAUACCCUGGUAGUCCACGCUGUAAACGAUGAUCACUCGUUGUUGGCGAUACACCGUCAGCGACUGAGCGAAAGCAAUAAGUGAUCCACCUGGGGAGUACGGCGGCAACGCUGAAACUCAAAGGAAUUGACGGGGGCCCGCACAAGCGGAGGAACAUGUGGUUUAAUUCGAUGAUACGCGAGGAACCUUACCUGGGCUUGAAAGUUAGUGACCGUCUCUGAAAGGAGAUUUUCCGCAAG
rnacentral:rRNA from 1 species